rnacentral:rRNA from 1 species
GACGAACCGUGCAAACGUUAUCCGGAAUCACUGGGCAUAAAGGGCGCGUAGGCGGCUCCAAAAGUCAGGGGUGAAAUCCGGCAGCUUAACUGUCGCAGUGCCUUUGUUACUGUGGAGCUAGAGGGAGGUAGGGGUCUGUGGAACUUCCGGUGGAGCGGUGAAAUGCGUUGAUAUCGGAAGGAACGCCGGUGGCGAAAGCGACGGACUGGAUCUCUUCUGACGCUGAGGCGCGAAAGCCAGGGGAGCAAACGGG